rnacentral:rRNA from 1 species
UACAGAGGGGGCAAGCGUUGUUCGGAAUUACUGGGCGUAAAGGGCGCGUAGGCGGCCUGCUAAGUCGAACGUGAAAUCCCCGGGCUCAACCCGGGAACUGCGUCCGAUACUGGCAGGCUUGAAUCCGGGAGAGGGAUGUGGAAUUCCUGGUGUAGCGGUGAAAUGCGCAGAUAUCAGGAGGAACACCGGUGGCGAAGGCGGGUCUCUGGGCCGAUACUGACGCUGAGGAGCGAAAGCGUGGGGAGCGAACAGG